rnacentral:rRNA from 1 species
GACGUAGGGCGCGAGCGUUGUCCGGAUUUAUUGGGCGUAAAGAGCUCGUAGGCGGCUUGUCACGUCGGGUGUGAAAGCCCGGGGCUUAACCCCGGGUCUGCAUUCGAUACGGGCUAGCUAGAGUGUGGUAGGGGAGAUAGGAAUUCCUGGUGUAGCGGUGAAAUGCGCAGAUAUCAGGAGGAACACCGGUGGCGAAGGCGGAUCUCUGGGCCAUUACUGACGCUGAGGAGCGAAAGCGUGGGGAGCGAACAGG